UACGUAGGGUGCGAGCGUUGUCCGGAAUUCUGGGCGUAAAGCGUGUGUAGGCGGUCCGCUAAGUCGGGUGUGAAAGCCCUGGGCUCAACCCAGGAAGUGCACUCGAAACUGGCGGGCUAGAGUAUCGGAGAGGUUGGUGGAAUUCUCGGUGUAGAGGUGAAAUUCGUAGAUAUCGAGAGGAACACCGGUGGCGAAGGCGCCAACGUGGACGAAUACUGACGCUGAGACACGAAAGCGUG
rnacentral:rRNA from 1 species